rnacentral:rRNA from 1 species
GAAGGAAAUUAAGUACGGAAGUUCCUGAUUUCACGCUGUCAAGAAAAGCCUCUAGGAAGAGUAGUACUGCCCGUACCGCAAACCGACACAGGUAGAUGAGGAGAGAAUCCUAAGGUGAGCGAGAGAACUCUCGUUAAGGAACUCGGCAAAAUGACCCCGUAACUUCGGGAGAAGGGGUGCUCUAUUAGGGUGCAAGCCCGAGAGAGCCGCAGUGAAUAGGCCCAGGCGACUGUUUAGCAAAAACACAGGUCUCUGCAAAACCGUAAGGUGACGUAUAGGGGCUGACGCCUGCCCGGUGCUGGAAGGUUAAGAGGAGUGCUUAGCUUCGGCGAAGGUACGAAUUGAAGCCCCAGUAAACGGCGGCCGUAACUAUAACGGUCCUAAGGUAGCGAAAUUCCUUGUCGGGUAAGUUCCGACCCGCACGAAAGGCGCAACGAUCUGGGCACUGUCUCAACGAGAGACUCGGUGAAAUUAUAGUACCUGUGAAGAUGCAGGUUACCCGCGACAGGACGGAAAGACCCCGUGGAGCUUUACUGCAACCUGAUAUGGAAUGUUUGUACCGCUUGUACAGGAUAGGUAGGAGCCGAAGAGACGUGUGCGCUAGCAUACGAGGAGGCAAUGGUGGGAUACUACCCUGGCUGUAUGACCAUUCUAACCCGCCACGCUUAGCGCGUGGGGAGACAGUGUCAGGUGGGCAGUUUGACUGGGGCGGUCGCCUCCUAAAGAGUAACGGAGGCGCCCAAAGGUUCCCUCAGAAUGGAUGGAAAUCAUUCGCAGAGUGUAAAGGCACAAGGGAGCUUGACUGCGAGACUGACAAGUCGAG